rnacentral:rRNA from 1 species
CCUACGGGAGGCUGCAGUGGGGAAUAUUGGACAAUGGGCGAAAGCCUGAUCCAGCCAUGCCGCGUGUGUGAAGAAGGCCUUCGGGUUGUAAAGCACUUUCAGUGGGGAAGAAAGCCUUGGGGCUAAUACCCUCGAGGAAGGACAUCACCCACAGAAGAAGCACCGGCUAACUCCGUGCCAGCAGCCGCGGUAAUACGGAGGGUGCGAGCGUUAAUCGGAAUUACUGGGCGUAAAGCGCGCGUAGGCGGUCUGAUAAGCCGGUUGUGAAAGCCCCGGGCUCAACCUGGGAACGGCAUCCGGAACUGUCAGGCUAGAGUGCAGGAGAGGAAGGUAGAAUUCCCGGUGUAGCGGUGAAAUGCGUAGAGAUCGGGAGGAAUACCAGUGGCGAAGGCGGCCUUCUGGACUGACACUGACGCUGAGGUGCGAAAGCGUGGGUAGCAAACAGGAUUAGAUACCCGUGUAGC